CAACGCGAAGAACCUUACCAAGGCUUGACAUACACCGGAAACGGCCAGAGAUGGUCGCCCCCUUGUGGUCGGUGUACAGGUGGUGCAUGGUUGUCGUCAGCUCGUGUCGUGAGAUGUUGGGUUAAGUCCCGCAACGAGCGCAACCCUCGUUCUAUGUUGCCAGCGCGUUAUGGCGGGGACUCAUAGGAGACUGCCGGGGUCAACUCGGAGGAAGGUGGGGAUGACGUCAAAUCAUCAUGCCCCUUAUGUCUUGGGCUUCACGCAUGCUACAAUGGCCGGUACAAAGGGCUGCGAUACCGUAAGGUGGAGCGAAUCCCAAAAAGCCGGUCUCAGUUCGGAUUGAGGUCUGCAACUCGACCUCAUGAAGUCGGAGCCGCUAGUAAUCGCAGAUCAGCAACGCUGCGGUGAAUACGUUCCCGGGCCUUGUACACACCGCCCGUCAAGUCAUGAAAGUCGGUAACACCCGAAGCCGGUGGCCUAACCCUUGUGGAAGGAGCCGUCGAAGGUGGGA
rnacentral:rRNA from 1 species